GACGAACGCUGGCGGCGUGCCUAACACAUGCAAGUCGAGCGGGGUCCAUCCGGUAGCAAUACCGGGGAAGACCUAGCGGCGAACGGUGAGUAACACGUGAGAAACCUGCCCCGAAGUCUGGGAUAACCCGAGGAAACUCGAGCUAAUACCGGAUGUCUUCUUCUGAUCGCAUGGUCGGAUGAGGAAAGAUUUAUCGCUUCGGGAGGGUCUCGCGGCCUAUCAGCUAGUUGGCGGGGUAACGGCCCACCAAGGCGUCGACGGGUAGCUGGUCUGAGAGGACGAUCAGCCACACUGGGACUGAGACACGGCCCAGACUCCUACGGGAGGCAGCAGUGGGGAAUAUUGCGCAAUGGGCGAAAGCCUGACGCAGCAACGCCGCGUGCGGGAUGAAGGCC
rnacentral:rRNA from 1 species